AGCGGCUUCCAUCUUUUGGCCAUUGUGACUAACGCUGCUGUGGACGGAGAGAACCAGUUCCACAGUUGUCCUCUGACAUUCACAAGGGCACUGUGGCACACACGCAUAAAGGCACACACAACAACAACGAUAGCGGUUACGUUUUUAAAAGAGACAAAUGCCUGUUGAAGUCUUCGCUCUUGUAGAGUCAUUGGGUCGCAUGGUGAUCCCAUGUGUGUAUGUGGAUUAUACUGCUGGGUGCAAUGUGCAGAGGCCAGAAGAUGACACCAGGCAUCUUCCUCUACCCUCCCCAUCUUCUGUGAUGAGACAGCGCCUCUCAUUAAUACUGGAACUCACCCACUUGGCUAAGUCUGGAGCCACUGAGCCCUCGGGAUCUGCCUCUUUCCAUCCCACAGUGCUGGGGUUACGUGCACUCAAGGCCAUGCGCGAUGUCUGUGCAGAGCCUGGGAGUUUGAACUCAGGACCUCUUGCUUUCACAGCAGGCAUUUCUUCGCACUCAGCUACAACCCCCACCCCUAUGUUGAAGCAUUUGAAGGACCACCAUAAUCUUUCCAUAGCUCCCCGUUGUUAGUUUCCGACCACAUUCUUGAAUGAAAAUGGUUGGUCAAACUUGAGCUUGUACCCACCUCGAGAUAGCAGAGUUCUUAUACACCCUUGGUAUUUAGAUUUACACUAUUCUAAUUAUGGUGCCAAUACAUAAUAUGUGUAUAAGCAAAGCAGGUGAAAAUGUCCUCCUUGUGCUGUAAUAAAAAUCAAAGAUGAGCACCUUGGAGCUGGAGUUAUGACCCAGCAGCUAAGAACACUGGCUGCUCCUCCAGAGAACUUGAGUUUGAUUCCCAGCAUCCAGAUGGCCACGAAGAAUCUCUGUGACUCCAGUUUAAGGGGAUCCGAUGUCAUCUUCUGACCUCUUAAGACACCAGGCAUACACAUGGUGCCUUGACACAUAUGUAGACACGAUACCCAUACACAUGAAUAAAGUACUUUUUAAAAAUA
rnacentral:lncRNA from 1 species